rnacentral:rRNA from 1 species
UGGGGAAUAUUGCACAAUGGGCGAAAGCCUGAUGCAGCGACGCCGCGUGAGGGAUGACGGCCUUCGGGUUGUAAACCUCCUUCAGUAGGGACGAAGCGCAAGUGACGGUACCUGCAGAAGAAGCACCGGCUAACUACGUGCCAGCAGCCGCGGUAAUACGUAGGGUGCGAGCGUUGUCCGGAAUUACUGGGCGUAAAGAGCUCGUAGGCGGUUUGUCACGUCGUCUGUGAAAUCCUAGGGCUUAACCCUGGACGUGCAGGCGAUACGGGCUGACUUGAGUACUACAGGGGAGACUGGAAUUUCUGGUGUAGCGGUGGAAUGCACAGAUAUCAGGAAGAACACCGAUGGCGAAGGCAGGUCUCUGGGUAGUAACUGACGCUGAGGAGCGAAAGCAUGGGUAGCGAACAGG